rnacentral:snRNA from 1 species
AAUUGUGAGGAUAAUCCGGCUGUGGUAUCUAUAACCUCAUUGAUCACUGAGAUUGGUUCAGGUGAUUUAGUAGGCUAGAAAUGUAACCCCUCCUUCCCUCAAAACUUCAUGUAGAUGUUUCCUGAAGCUUCAUACAUGAUGGAAGAAGAUGUUCACCCCUUGUAGGAGUGUAACUGUGCUUUUGGUCAGUUGAUUCAGCCCUCUUUAUUAUACCCUAAGUAAAUUGCUCUUGGAAAAACUGGGGAUCUUAAUUUUAAAAAAAGAUGCCAAUCCAUGCACAUUUAUAUCCCAAUUUAUGGGUGCUAU